CCAGCCAGAAAGGUAGACACAGACAUAGUGAGCACAGUCCAGUCACAAGCUUAUCUUUUAAAUUUAGACUUGCAGUUAUUUGGCAGGAAGAGACAUUGAGUUUCACAUGUCGUUCCAAAAUGAAUCUAAGACUCCUGUAUAAAGUCGAUUGGAGGCACUGCUCCUCCCUCAGUCUCCAAGAUGUUGAGGUCACGUUUGCAGCUAAUAAAAGCCUAUCGUUUGCCUCCCGUCUCCGAGAGUUAUUGAUGAUGCAUCAUAAAGCAAGGCUUUUGGAUGAUUAAGUGGGUCUCAUCAUCGCUGCAAGAAUUAUAUUGCAAAACUGGAAAAAAACCCAGAUGUCCCACUGUGAGGGAAUGGACUGAAGAAAUGGUUAAGAUUUCAUCAUAUGAACACAUGUUGGGAAGAAUUAACAGUGAGGGAAAAGUGCAAGACGUGUGGGAUCAAUUUUGGUUGUAUGUUAAUUUAAACUUAAAUUAGAAGUUUAUUUUCUGUUUCUUAGUUUUAUAUGUUUUCCUGUCAUGGGAUGGCUGUGUAAAUAUGC